UUUCCCCGGGGGCGUAGGAAGGUGGACUGGGAGAGUUGAGGGAGAA
rnacentral:ribozyme from 1 species